CUACGGGCGGCUCCAGUGAGGAAUAUUGGACAAUGGGCGAGAGCCUGAUCCAGCCAUGCCGCGUGCAGGAAGACUGCCCUAUGGGUUGUAAACUGCUUUUAUACAGGAAGAAUAAGCCUUACGUGUAAGGUGAUGACGGUACUGUAAGAAUAAGGACCGGCUAACUCCGUGCCAGCAGCCGCGGUAAUACGGAGGGUCCGAGCGUUAUCCGGAAUUAUUGGGUUUAAAGGGUCCGUAGGCGGAUGAUUAAGUCAGGGGUGAAAGUUUGCAGCUCAACUGUAAAAUUGCCUUUGAUACUGGUUAUCUUGAGUUGUAUUGAAGUAGGCGGAAUAUGUAGUGUAGCGGUGAAAUGCAUAGAUAUUACAUAGAACACCAAUUGCGAAGGCAGCUUACUAAGUACUAACUGACGCUGAUGGACGAAAGCGUGGGUAGCGAACAGGAUUAGAUACCCCCGUAGUC
rnacentral:rRNA from 1 species